rnacentral:rRNA from 1 species
AGCAGCCGCGGUAAUUCCAGCUCCAAUAGCGUAUAUUAAAGUUGUUGCAGUUAAAAAGCUCGUAGUUGAAUUUCGGGACCAGUAUGUUGGUCGUGCUUCGGUACGUACUGUCAUUACUGGUUUCUCCCUUCUGAAGAACCUUGAUGUCAUUAAUUUGGUGUCUUGGGGAAUCAGGACUGUUACUUUGAAAAAAUUAGAGUGUUUAAAGCAGGCAUACGCUUGAAUACAUUAGCAUGGAAUAAUGAAAUAGGACGUUUGAUUCUAUUUUGUUGGUUUCUAGGAUCGACGUAAUGAUUAAUAGGGAUAGUUGGGGGCAUUAGUAUUCAAUUGUCAGAGGUGAAAUUCUUGGAUUUAUUGAAGACUAACUACUGCGAAAGCAUUUGCCAAGGAUGUUUUCAUUAAUCAAGAACGAAAGUUAGGGGAUCGAAGACGAUCAGAUACCGUCGUAGUCUUAACCAUAAACUAUGCCGACUAGGGAUCGGAUGAUGUUAUUUUAAUGACUCAUUCGGCGCCUUACGGG